rnacentral:tRNA from 1 species
UGCGGGGUGGAGCAGUGGCAGCUCGUUGGGCUCAUAACCCAAAGGUCGGAGGUUCGAAUCCUCCCUCCGCUA